GAUUUAGCCAAUAUUCAAUUUAUGAAUAGCGUUUUUAUAAUCCUCUGAGGGUUGUGAAAUCAAAAGCUUCUACUUUUAUUUCCUUAGGGAUAACUGCUGUUUAUUUUUCAAUUUAGAAUAUCUGGGAAGUAAUUGACCUGGAGAAGCAUUUCUCAAAAUGUGGCCCUAAUGACAGUCCCUGAGAUUGAAUGAUUGCAGUGACUGACAGCAAACCUCUCCCCAAGGAGCUUCUGUUGCUGACAGAACCUGAAGGAUGCUACAGUGGAUGGAAAAGCGAUGCUCUUGGAUUACCCUGGAAUUGAACUCCUGCUUUGUCUUGCAUGAUCCUCUAUUGGUGGGGCAUGACUCUGCUUGAAAAGAUAGAACUCAAACAAGGAAGCAUGGAAGAUGGGUUGAAUCUUGAAGGACCUUGCAUACACAAAGAUAAACUCUACAUGGGAGAAGGACCUCAAUGUGAGACAGGAAUCUAUCAAAAUCCUAGAGGAGAACAUAGGCAGUAACCUCUUUGACACUGGCCACAGCAACUUCUUUCAAGACACAUCUCCAAAGGCAAGGGAAACAAAAGCGAAAAUGAACCUUUGGGACUUCAUCAAGAUAAAAAUCUCCACAGCAAAGGAAACAGUCAACAAAACAAAGAGGCAACCCACGGAAUGGGAGAAGAUAUUUGCAAAUGAUACUACAGUAAGUCUUGAAAUCAGGACGAGUCACCAUCAUUCCUACCAGACUUUAUCUAAUCUCUUCCUGAAGUGCUGCACAUGUUAACUUGACCAUCUCCUUUAGCAAGUUUAUUUCAAAGAUCAUCUGCUCAGACUGUGAAGAAGAGGUCCAUCGUGGGUUGGCUGGAGAUUCUGAUCCAUGCUACUCUCACUUGGAUUCCAGGCCAGGAGGGCAGCACUCUCUGGAAACUCACCGGUUUCGAUAGAGGAAAGCAAGAGCAUGCAAUAAACUGUGAUGUGGCCAGUUGAGAGCAGAAAAAUCACUCAGAUGAAACCAGUUUUCAGAGGAACAAGAUGAGCUGAUUUGAAAACUCACGUAAAAUAAAAAGGGCCAUGAAACAUUUUGGAACAUUUCCGAUGAAGAAGGUAAGUAGAUUGUUCUCCUUUUUUCC